AAAAUCCGUCGACUUUUAAAAUCGUGAGGGUUCAAGUCCUUUCUAUCCCCCANNUCAUGUUCAAGUCCCUCUAUCCCCA
rnacentral:tRNA from 1 species